rnacentral:lncRNA from 10 species
AAAAAGUAAAAAUAUUUUAUGCUUUUCCAUUAGGAAUACUUACAUAGCUGUUUAUAUUUGGAAGCUUCCCCCCACCCCCAUAUAAAAGGAAUAAGUUAUGAAUAUGAGCUUUUAAGUCAAACUUGAGGUACUAUUUACAGAUCUUAUUCCAUUUUUUGGGAUAGUUUCUGUGGUAUAAGUUAAAUGCCACAGGCUUUUACUUGGUUCUUAGCAGUUAUUAAUUUGUUUUUGAGGGGUAUGCUUCCAAAACUAAACUUGAGUAAGACAUUGAACAUUUCUUGUGUGUGAUGUAAGGAACUGACAUUACUAAUCUUACAUAAGAAGCAUCAUUAACAGAAUAGAUAGAGGAUUAUGGGGCUUUAGCCACCCUCUGGGAAACAUAGGUAAUGUAAAUUGGAUAUAUGUUAGUUGAAUCAACCAGCAAUCUAAGUGGUAUAUUUGAAAUUCAUAACCUGGUUGUACAGUGUAGUUGGUGGUUUUCUCAUGUGAAGAGAGAUGGCUGUUCUCAAUGCUGAAUGUUUUUUCCUUUUUGUCUAGGGCUGCUUCCCCAAGCCCACAGUCUGUAAGAAGGGUCUCAUCCUCCCGAUCUGUCUCCGGGUCUCCUGAGCCAGCAGCUAAAAAGCCCCCAGCACCUCCAUCCCCCGUCCAGUCUCAGUCACCGUCUACAAACUGGUCACCAGCUGUACCGGUCAAAAAGGCCAAAAGCCCAACACCGAGCCCAUCACCGCCAAGAAAUUCAGAUCAGGAAGGAGGUGGAAAGAAAAAGAAGAAAAAGAAGGACAAGAAACACAAAAAGGAUAAGAAGCACAAGAAGCAC